CCUAUGGGAGGCAGCAGUGAGGAAUAUUGGUCAAUGGGCUUACGCCUGAACCAGCCAAGUCGCGUGAGGGAAGACUGCCCUAUGGGUUGUAAACCUCUUUUGUCAGGGAGCAAUUGGCGCUACGUGUAGCGUUCUCGAGAGUCCCUGAAGACAAAGCCUCGGCUAACUCCGUGCCAGCAGCCGCGUUAAUACGGAGGAUGCGAGCGUUAUCCGGAUUUAUUGGGUUAACAGGGUGCGUAGGCGGACUGCCAAGUCAGCGGUAAAAUCGCGGGGCUAAACCACGCUCCGCCGUUGAACCUGGCGUUCUUGAGUGGGCGAGAAGUAUGCGGAAUGCGUGGUGUAGCGGUGAAAUGCAUAGAUAUCACGCAGAACUCCGAUUGCGAAGGCAGCAUACCGGCGCCCAACUGACGCUGAAGCACGAAAGCGUGGGUAUCGAACAGGAUUAGAUACCCUAGUAGUC
rnacentral:rRNA from 1 species